GACGAGGAGCUUGCUCCUCUGACGUUAGCGGCGGACGGGUGAGUAACACGUGGAUAACCUACCUAUAAGACUGGGAUAACUUCGGGAAACCGGAGCUAAUACCGGAUAAUAUAUUGAACCGCAUGGUCCAAUAGUGAAAGACGGUUUUGCCGUCACUUAUAGAUGGAUCCGCGCCGCAUUAGCUAGUUGGUAAGGUAACGGCUUACCAAGGCAACGAUGCGUAGCCGACCUGAGAGGGUGAUCGGCCACACUGGAACUGAGACACGGUCCAGACUCCUACGGGAGGCAGCAGUAGGGAAUCUUCCGCAAUGGGCGAAAGCCUGACGGAGCAACGCCGCGUGAGUGAUGAAGGUCUUCGGAUCGUAAAACUCUGUUAUUAGGGAAGAACAAAUGUGUAAGUAACUAUGCACGUCUUGACGGUACCUAAUCAGAAAGCCACGGCUAACUACGUGCCAGCAGCCGCGGUAAUACGUAGGUGGCAAGCGUUAUCCGGAAUUAUUGGGCGUAAAGCGCGCGUAGGCGGUUUUUUAAGUCUGAUGUGGAAGCCCACGGCUCAACCGUGGAGGGUCAUUGGAAACUGGAAAACUUGAGUGCAGAAGAGGAAAGUGGAAUUCCAUGUGUAGCGGUGAAAUGCGCAGAGAUAUGGAGGAACACCAGUGGCGAAGGCGACUUUCUGGUCUGUAACUGACGCUGAUGUGCGAAAGCGUGGGGAUCAAACAGGAUUAG
rnacentral:rRNA from 1 species